UCAGUGGCGAACGGGUGAGUAACACGUGAGCAACCUGCCCCUGACUCUGGGAUAAGCGCUGGAAACGGCGUCUAAUACUGGAUAUGUGACGUGACCGCAUGGUCUGCGUCUGGAAAGAAUUUCGGUUGGGGAUGGGCUCGCGGCCUAUCAGCUUGUUGGUGAGGUAAUGGCUCACCAAGGCGUCGACGGGUAGCCGGCCUGAGAGGGUGACCGGCCACACUGGGACUGAGACACGGCCCAGACUCCUACGGGAGGCAGCAGUGGGGAAUAUUGCACAAUGGGCGCAAGCCUGAUGCAGCAACGCCGCGUGAGGGACGACGGCCUUCGGGUUGUAAACCUCUUUUAGCAGGGAAGAAGCGAAAGUGACGGUACCUGCAGAAAAAGCGCCGGCUAACUACGUGCCAGCAGCCGCGGUAAUACGUAGGGCGCAAGCGUUAUCCGGAAUUAUUGGGCGUAAAGAGCUCGUAGGCGGUUUGUCGCGUCUGCUGUGAAAUCCGGAGGCUCAACCUCCGGCCUGCAGUGGGUACGGGCAGACUAGAGUGCGGUAGGGGAGAUUGGAAUUCCUGGUGUAGCGGUGGAAUGCGCAGAUAUCAGGAGGAACACCGAUGGCGAAGGCAGAUCUCUGGGCCGUAACUGACGCUGAGGAGCGAAAGGGUGGGG
rnacentral:rRNA from 1 species